UACGGAGGGUGCAAGCGUUGCUCGGAAUUAUUGGGCGUAAAGGGCAGGUAGGUGGUCUCGUUUGUCUGGGGUGAAAGCCCAGGGCUUAACCCUGGAAGUGCCCCAGAAACGGCGAGACUCGAGUACUGGAGAGGCAAGUGGAAUUCCCGGUGUAGCGGUGAAAUGCGUAGAGAUCGGGAGGAACACCGAUGGCGAAGGCAGGUCUCUGGGCAUUAACUGACGCUGAGGAGCGAAAGCAUGGGGAGCGAACAGG
rnacentral:rRNA from 1 species